rnacentral:lncRNA from 1 species
UCGUCCGUACUGUGUUAGGUAUUAAUUAACCUGAAGGAAGGCUCCAGGGAGCAGCUGACAUGGACCCUGCUCUUUGGCCUUGAUCCCAGAUGCAGCCCAGCUCUCUAGGUCCAGUGCCUUCUUCAUCAUGUGCUCACAGUGCUCACCGAUCUUCUGAUGUAGCUUCCACCCCCUCCCCAGCUCUCCGGCAGACGCAAACCACCCUCAGAACUCCACCCGGGACAUCACCCAGAAGGUUCAAGGCUUGCUUUGGAGACAAAUCACUGAGGUCCAUGGCAGGUAUAGAGUGGAGUUCAAAUCUGCUCUUUGAGAAGAGAAGCCCAGAAGAGAGUGGAUUCUUGAAGCCCCAUGGAGGGCUAGCUACAUUUUACCUGGAGACAAGAUAAUCUGAGGGGCGAAGCCAGUGAUGCAGAGCACCAAGACUCAGAAGAUGAAUAUUGUGCCUGCUUUGGCGAGACAUGGUUCAGACUCAGAAGGAGUAUGUAACGAUAAUAAAGAGAAGAUAUGAUGAUAUCAGAGAGUUCUGUAUUAUGUGCAACACAGAAUGUAAAGAAGAUGAAACAGAAAACAGACCUGAGGCUUCCAGGCUGUCCACGCCUCUGUGCUAACAAGUUAGAUGAGUACUGACUGGCAUGAAAGAGUUCUCCAUGAGGCCAUCUAAGCAAAGAAUACUGAACAGGACAAGCGUUUCUGAGCAGAAACCAGACACGACUAUCUGAUGAUUCUAAAGAGGGCAGGGGUCCCUUUACAUCAGAC